rnacentral:rRNA from 1 species
GACGAACCGUGCGAACGUUAUUCGGAAUCACUGGGCUUAAAGGGUGCGUAGGCGGCUGAGAGGGUGGGGUGUGAAAUCCCUCGGCUUAACCGAGGAAUUGCGCUCCAAACCGCUUGGCUGGAGUGAGGCAGAGGUGAGCAGAACUAAUGGUGGAGCGGUGAAAUGCGUAGAUAUGUGGAGGAAUACCGAUGGCGAAGGCAGCCCCCUGGGAUAACACUGACGCUCAUGCACGAAAGCGUGGGGAGCAAACAGG